rnacentral:rRNA from 13 species
UCUAUUUAGGUAGAGCGUCUCGUGAAUACCCAUGGGGGUAGAGCACUGGAUGGGCUAGGGGGGCGCGAGCCUUACCAAACCUAACCAAACUCCGAAUACCGGUAAAUACUAUGUGGCAGACAGACGGCGGGUGCUAAGGUCCGUCGUCGAAAGGGAAACAGCCCAGACCGCCAGCUAAGGUCCCAAAGUCAUGGCUAAGUGGGAAAGGAUGUGGGAAGACCAAAACAACCAGGAGGUUGGCUU